rnacentral:rRNA from 1 species
UAUCCUACGGGGCGCAGCAGUGGGGGAUAUUGCACAAUGGGGGAAACCCUGAUGCAGCGACGCCGCGUGGGUGAAGAAGCGCCUCGGCGCGUAAAGCCCUGUCAGCAGGGAAGAAAAUGACGGUACCUGAAGAAGAAGCCCCGGCUAACUACGUGCCAGCAGCCGCGGUAAUACGUAGGGGGCAAGCGUUAAUCGGAAUUACUGGGCGUAAAGCGCUCGUAGGCGGGAUGUCAAGUCAAGGGUGAAAUCCCCGCGCGCAACGUGGGCACUGCCUUUGAAACUGGCAACAUGGAGUGUGUGGGGGG